rnacentral:rRNA from 1 species
AUUGAACGCUGGCGGCAUGCCUUACACAUGCAAGUCGAACGGCAGCACGGGAGCAAUCCUGGUGGCGAGUGGCGAACGGGUGAGUAAUAUAUCGGAACGUGCCCAGUCGUGGGGGAUAACGUAGCGAAAGCUACGCUAAUACCGCAUACGAUCUAUGGAUGAAAGCGGGGGAUCGCAAGACCUCGCGCGAUUGGAGCGGCCGAUAUCAGAUUAGGUAGUUGGGGAGGUAAAGGCCCACCAAGCCGACGAUCUGUAGCUGGGCUGAGAGGACGACCAGCCACACUGGGACUGGGACACGGCCCAGACUCCUACGGGAGGCAGCAGUGGGGAAUUUUGGACAAUGGGCGCAAGCCUGAUCCAGCAAUGCCGCGUGCAGGAUGAAGGCCUUCGGGUUGUAAACUGCUUUUGUACGGAGCGAAAAGGCUUCCACUAAUACUGGGGGCUCAUGACGGUACCGUAAGAAUAAGCACCGGCUAACUACGUGCCAGCCGCCGCGGUAA